UGUAAAGUCUCCUACCUUGCGCGCUAAUCAGUGACCGGGGCUGGUUUUUUAUAUACAGUCAGGUACCUGAAGUAGCGCGCGUGGUGGCAGACAUAUAU
ensembl:ncRNA mir-275 mir-275 stem loop